CUUGAUUUGCUUUGUCAUAUCAUUUUUUCCCUCCAUAUGAUGAAAAGGAUCAGACUACUUCGCAAAAUAAUUUUCUGUGAAAAAAAAGAAUAACCAUUAUGAGUAUGAGCUGAAUAUUCAGUUGUGUUUAAUAAAUAGCCUUUUUCACUUUGCUAUCAUUAUUUAUAUACUUAUUCUGCAUUUAAAAACAAUGAUCAUGUGUUCCAUAAUGUGAGAGACAUGAAGGAGACAAAAAUAAGGUACCAAACUUAUCCUCAUUAAGCUCUAUUCUAGACAAAGUCACAGAAAUGCAAUACAAGGUACCAGAUGCUAAGUUAGAGACAUCAGAAAUAUGUGGUAGUACAAAAAGAUCCAGUGAUGCACCAAACAUAAGUCCUAAAGUAAGUCCUUUCAGAUAAUUAGAAAUAGGCU
rnacentral:lncRNA from 1 species